CAGUGUGUGGCGUAAUGGCUUAACGCAGUGGACUGUGAAUCCACGAAUGAGGGUUCGAUUCCCUCCAUGCUGA
rnacentral:tRNA from 2 species